rnacentral:rRNA from 1 species
AACCUUGGACAAUGGGGGCAACCCUGAUCCAGCCAUUCCGCGUGUGUGAUGAAGGCCUUCGGGUUGUAAAGCACUUUUGGCAGAGAAGAAAUGGCCCGUGCUAAUAUCCCGAGUCGAUGACGGUAUCUGCAGAAUAAGCACCGGUCAACUACGUGCCAGCAGCCGCGGUAAUACGUAGGGUGCAAGCGUUAAUCGGAAUUACUGGGCGUAAAGCGUGCGCAGGCGGUUCGGAAAGAAAGAUGUGAAAUCCCAGGGCUCAACCUUGGAACUGCAUUUUUAACUCCCGGACUAGAGUAUGUCAGAGGGGGGUGGAAUUCCACGUGUAGCAGUGAAAUGCGUAGAGAUGUGGAGGAACACCGAUGGCGAAGGCAGCCCCCUGGGAUAAUACUGACGCUCAGGCACGAAAGCGUGGGUAGCAAACA